UACGUAGGGGGGCGAGCGUUGUCCGGAUUCAUUGGGCGUAAAGAGCUCGUAGGCGGCUUGGCAAGUCGGAUGUGAAAACUCCAGGCUCAACCUGGAGCCGCCAUUCGAUACUGCUAUGGCUAGAGUCCGGUAGGGGAGUGUGGAAUUCCCGGUGUAGCGGUGAAAUGCGCAGAUAUCGGGAGGAACACCGAUGGCGAAGGCAGCACUCUGGGCCGGUACUGACGCUGAGGAGCGAAAAGCGUGGGGGAGCGAACAGGA
rnacentral:rRNA from 1 species